rnacentral:rRNA from 1 species
UACGAAGGACCCGAGCGUUAUCCGGAUUCAUUGGGCUUAAAGGGUGCGUAGGUGGAACGAUAAGUCAGUGGUGAAAGCCUGCGGCUUAACUGCAGAACUGCCAUUGAUACUGUCGAUCUUGAGUACAUUUGAUGUGGGCGGAAUGUGCCAUGUAGUGGUGAAAUACUUAGAUAUGGCACAGAACACCGAUCGCGAAGGCAGCUCACAAAACUGUAACUGACACUGAGGCACGAAAGCGUGGGGAUCAAACAGG